rnacentral:rRNA from 1 species
GACGAACGCUGGCGGCGUGCUUAACACAUGCAAGUCGAACGGAAAGGCCCCUUCGGGGGUCCUCGAGUGGCGAACGGGUGAGUAACACGUGAGUAACCUGCCCUUGACUUCGGGAUAACUUCCGGAAACUGGGGCUAAUACCGGCUAGGAAUCCUUGCUGCAUGGUGGGGGUUGGAAAGCUUCGGCGGUUUUGGAUGGACUCGCGGCUUAUCAGCUUGUUGGUGGGGUAGUGGCUUACCAAGGCUUUGACGGGUAGCCGGCCUGAGAGGGCGACCGGCCACAGUGGGACUGGGAUACGGGCCAGGAGCCUACGGGAGGCAGGAGGGGGGGAUAGUGGACAAAGGGGGGGAGCCUGAUGCAGCAAAGCCGGGGGCGGGAUGACGGGCUUCGGGUUGGAAACCGCUUUCAGCAGGGGCGAAGCUUGUGGUGACGGUACCGGCAGAAGAAGCACCGGCUAACUACGUG